UAUGAUGGAAAUUUUAGGUCUGUUAAUAAAAAGAAUUGCUUUUCUGCAGUUUCUUAGCCCUGUCCCUGGGCCAUGCUUGCGUCACUAAAAAGAGAGAACUGGAGCACAUAGGCAGAGCCAAAAGAGAGAAAAACAGAGGGAAACUUCUCUUCAGAGCUGGUGGAAGGCACCUGCAGCUGGAUUAGCGUAUGGCCAGCUUCAGAAAUAACCCUCUUGUUAUCUAAGUAAGUAGAGGGUUAAAAAUCUGUGAAGAAUUUAGUGAAGUUAGAUGUUGCACAUACUAACAAACCCAAAUAUGUACACAAUGUCUAGGAUCAGGAUGACCAUCCUUGAGGUUGUCAGAAGCGAUGAAUUAGAGAACUACUAAUCAGGAGUUGGCUAUCCUUGAAGGAGAAACAUCCUGGAAAAUAUGUCAGCUAUAUGUACUUUUAAUUAUCAUGUUUGUACUUAAUUUUGGAUAGUUAGCUAAACUGCGUCCUUAAGCGAACUACCCUCAUUAUAAUACUAAAACUCACACCCACUGGGCAGGAGACCCCGGCCCAGGCGGAGACCCUUACUCAUAGAGCAUGCGUAAUGAGAACAGAGAUUGUGUAACCAUAUGCAAAUUACUAACCAAUCAGUAUUAGAGGGAAAUCUGUGGAAACCUACCAAGUGAAAAUAAUGUAUAUAAAAGGAACUCUGGAGAAUACCGAGGUGUGCUAGUUAGUGGGAAAGCACCUAGCACCCAAACUUGCACAGCUUUGUAAUAAACAAUAUCUGGUCUCUGUGUGUGAGAUUGGCUCAUUGCACACCGGGUACCAAAACCCACUUUUGGGACAACAGUUUUGGCAGCCCACAUGGGACGUCACUGAGGAGCCUUGCCUGGAUCGACUUGCUGCAAUCAGCGAGGAGAAGCGGACUGCUCGGGCUCCAGCACACACUGAACUGAUUUUUGGCGACUCUGACGGCUCCUCUCCCUUCUGGGCAUAUUGGAUUUAAAGGAUGCCACCUUUUGCAUUCUGCUGGAAGCUGAGAGUCAAAAGUUGUUUGCUUUUGAAUAGGAGAGUCCACCCACAGGACAAAAAGUGCAACUCUGCUGGACAGUACUACCACAAGGAUUCAAGAACAGUCCUACUUUGUUUGGUAACGUACUGGCCGAAGAAUUAGAACACUGGCAAGGUAUAAACGAACAAGAACUCCAGUGCCAUUAAUAGGCCAGUACACUUCUUCCAACCUGGGGAUCAAGUGUAUCUCUGGACAUGGAGAGAUGAACCGUUAAAGGAGGAGUGACAAGGACCGUAUAUUGUGGUGUUGGUAACAAAUACUGCCGUCAAAUUAAAGGGAAUAGAUUCCUGGAUUCACUACACUUGAGUAAAAACGGCUCUGGGAGAAAAGUAGACUUCUGAAGAGAUACAGCCACUGAAAUUGAGGAUCUCCAAAGCCUCAUGAAUUGUACCUGGUCCAUUUAUUCGUUAUUUGUUAAAAUAUGUAUCAAAUUGUGGGAAUCAUUCUGUUUCAAUUUUGUAUCAUAGGCUUACAAGCUCAGUGUACCAUGAUCUACCUAUUCCUGCAAAUGUGUCAUGGCAAAAUUUGUGGAUUAAUACUAAUAUUGACCCUAGAGAGAUAUAGGAAUUGAACGACUUCAUUGUUUGAUUCAGAAGAAUUUCCACUGAUCUAGAUGAAGUUUGGAAACAGACUAAGAUAUUACAUGAAAUUAAAAAAGAUGACACAUCCUGGGGAUUUGAAGCAGCAUGGAAAUGGUUAACUUCCUGGUUUCCUGACCUGAGCUUUUGGAUUAAAAGGUUAAUAGCUAUAACAAUAAUUAUACUGCUUGCCUUUAUAUGCAUAUAUGUUGUGUUAAAAUGUACUUUAAAUGUUGUUCAACUGUAAGAAAAGUAGUAUAUGAAAAGAUUAUAUGAGACUUAAAUAGGAAGUACAAGUUUCUUUGUCUAAAUCUCAAAGGGGGGAAUUGUUACCUCAGCAAGUAGAGGGUUAAAAAUCUGUGAAGAAUUUAGUGAAGUUAGAUGUUGCACAUACUAACAAACCCAAAUAUGUACACAAUGUCUAGGAUCAGGAUGACCGUCCUUGAGGUUGUCAGAAGCGAUGAAUUAGAGAACUACUAAUCAGGAGUUGGCUAUCCUUGAAGGAGAAACAUCCUGGAAAAUAUGUCAGCUAUAUGUACUUUUAAUUAUCAUGUUUGUACUUAAUUUUGGAUAGUUAGCUAAACUGCGUCCUUAAGCGAACUACCCUCAUUAUAAUACUAAAACUCACACCCACUGGGCAGGAGACCCCAGCCCAGGCGGAGACCCUUACUCAUAGAGCAUGCGU